rnacentral:lncRNA from 1 species
AGUAGAAGAAGUAUCCUCUCCAGAGUCGUGGAUCGAUACUAAAGGAGUCUUCUCCGCAGCACCGCUCCCUGAUGGAAAUCUGGCAGUUCAAAACGACGACCUCGUAGAUAACCGCCUUCUAGCCUACCAGAGGAACACGAGUGCAAAGAAGGGGUUGCAUCAUCUCCCAAAGCAAAAGGACGAGUUAAUAUACUUUUGCAGCUUUCUGGAUCGCUGGAG